AUUGAACGCUGGCGGCAGGCCUAACACAUGCAAGUCGAGCGAGCGGCGGACGGGUGAGUAAUGUCUGGGAAACUGCCUGAUGGAGGGGGAUAACUACUGGAAACGGUAGCUAAUACCGCAUACCAUCAGAUGUGCCCAGAUGGCUUUAGCUAGUAGGUGGGGUAACGGCUCACCUGGUCGACGAUCCCGAGCUGGUCUGAGAGGCUGACCAGCCACACUGGAACUGGGACACGGUCAGGACUCCUACGGGAGGCAGCAGUGGGGAAUAUUGCACAAGGGGGGCAAUCCUGAUGUAGCCAUGCCGCGUGUGUGAAGAGGGCCUUCGGGUUGUAAAGCACUUUCAGCGGGGAGGCGUUACCCGCAGAAGAAGCACCGGCUAACUCCGUGCCAGCAGCCGCGGUAAUAC
rnacentral:rRNA from 1 species